rnacentral:rRNA from 1 species
UACAGAGGUCUCGAGCGUUGUUCGGAUUUACUGGGCGUAAAGGGCGCGUAGGCGGCGCGGCGUGUCGAGUGUGAAAUCUCCGGGCUCAACCCGGAAAGUACGCUCGAAACUGCCAUGCUGGAGUACGGGAUGGGGAAUCGGAAUAUAGGGUGUAGCGGUGAAAUGCGUUGAUAUCCUAUAGAACACCCGAGGCGAAGGCGGAUUACUGGAACGUUACUGACGCUGAGGCGCGAAAGUCGGGGGAGCAAAC